rnacentral:rRNA from 1 species
GGCGCGAAAACUUUACAAUGCUGGCAACAGCGAUAAGGGAACCUCGAGUGCCAGGUUACAAAUCUGGCUGUCGAGAUGCCUAAAAAGCAUUUCAUAGCAAGGGCCGGGCAAGACCGGUGCCAGCCGCCGCGGUAACACCGGCGGCUCGAGUGGUAACCGUUAUUAUUGGGUCUAAAGGGUCUGUAGCCGGCCGGAUAAGUCUCUUGAGAAAUCUGGCAGCUUCACUGUCAGGCUUUCAGGAGAUACUGUCUGGCUCUAGGCCGGGAGAGGGGAUGGGAAAUUCAGGGUUAGGGUUGAAAUCUUAUAAUCCUUGAAGGACCACCAGUGGCGAAGGCGUCUCACCAGAACGGACCUGACGGCAAGGGACGAAAGCUAGGGGCACGAACCGGAUUAGAUACCCCAGUAGUCC